CUGUAGCUCAAUUGGUAGAGCGCCGCAUUUGCAAUGCGGAGGUAAGCGGUUCGAAACCGCUCAG
rnacentral:tRNA from 1 species